GCUGCGGGAGGGAGGGAGAGAGGAGGAGGCGGCUAGGUCUCUGGACAGGAGCGCCCCCCCUUUAUACCCCCACCACGCGAAAUGACCAAAAUGCCCCGGUGGGGGCACGGUAUUUACAUUUUGCUGCCACUACUAUUCAUUCCAGCAGUGUCAAUCCCAGAUCCAACGGCCCAGGCUUCUCCAGAUCUCGAUCGGACGGACGAAAACGCAUCAAGGGAACCGAUCCAACGGCCCAGAAUCACUAAGCUCUGAGGAGGCUUGUACAUCCAUCCUUCUCUUAUUUCUGGAUGUGCUAAGUUUCAUGUUUGACAAAAAUCAGUGGAUAGCAAAAGAUAGUAUAAAUCAGAGUUAAAAAAAUGAAACAGAAAAGUACAAGGAAAAGAAUAAACGCCCACUGUGGUCCUAGGCUCUAGUGCACUUGGCCCAGCCCAACCUGGGCUUCUCCCACCUCGCUACAGGAGGCAGGGGCUCGUGGCAGGCAUCUGGCCGCCAUGGCCAUUCCCUGGCCCCGUGCCGGCCAUCUGCCGGCUCCCCUGGAGCAUAAAGGCCGACCCCACGACCCCCCAGGCGAACCCUAGCCCCCACUUGCCCUCCCCUCGCGCCGCUUCGCCCUCUCCCUCUCUGUCUUGUUCGCCUGAGCGCGGCCGCCGACGUGCCGCCGUCGAUCCCGCGGCCACCAACCACCGUUCGCCGCAUCGAUUAGUCCAGGAGGAUCGUCACCGUCGACUACGUCUGUCCAGAGUGUCAAUUCGAGCGGGGCCGCCCUGUACGCUCGCCAUCGACCUCGUUUCCACUGCAUACAUCCUCGCCGUCCGCGGUCGAUUGCCACCGCUCCUGUCCGUCCCCCGACCUCUCCGAGCACGUCAUCUACCCCGUGCUGAGGAGUUUCGUGAGAGGAAAGGAUGCAUGAGGGCCAUGACAUAACGAGCUAAGAGCUUUGGGGAUCGAAGUACUUCUAGAUCUGAGGGGAGGAUGGAGCUGUGUGAGAUGGCGUGUCGGGGUAUUACUCGUGAAGGAUGCUACUAACUACUGAGUACUGACCAAGCAAUAAACUGGAAGAUUCCAUCAGGGAAAAAGAACGAAGUCGUUGUCCGAGGAAGAAGACCCAAGACCCAGGGUGCUUUGUGAUUCGUGUUGAGACGUGGCAUUCCUUGGACAGUGUAAAAAAGACCAGGUCUCUUAGAAUUUUUUUUCCCGGUUUGUGGAGAUGAUGGCACCAGUAUUUAAUAGGGAUCUAUGAAAAUGUGUUGGCAUAUGAUCCAGUACAUAAAUUGAUUGAGUUGGUUUUCUGGGUUGA